GAUGAACGCUGGCGGCGUGCCUAACACAUGCAAGUCGAGCGGGAAUCUGUUGAUUGAGACUUCGGUGGAUUGAUGCAGAGGAUAGCGGCGGACGGGUGAGUAACGCGUAGGUAACCUGCCCCUUACACAGGGAUAGCCUCGGGAAACUGGGAUUAAUACCUGAUAAUGCGAUGGAGUCACAUGGCUUUAUCGCCAAAGAUUUAUCGGUGAGGGAUGGACCUGCGUCUGAUUAGCUGGUUGGCGGGGUAACGGCCCACCAAGGCGACGAUCAGUAGGGGUUCUGAGAGGAAGGUCCCCCACAUUGGAACUGAGACACGGUCCAAACUCC
rnacentral:rRNA from 1 species